AGCGGCUUUUGUUCUGGGUUAAAACUUGGCAUCUGAAAAGUGGGGACCAGAAGAGCAAUGGGGUUAAUUGAGAAAGGCAGCACAGUUUGGUUUCCGUAACAACUGGGUCUUUGCUAGGACACUGGCCUCACUGGCCAGUCACAUUUCCCAGCUCCUUUCCAUUAGGAAGCAAAGCUGCAGCCUUGGAAAUAAGAGGCAAGUCAGGUACUGCCAGGUGUGAGCAGGGAAAGCUCCCUGCUGGAGCUGGCCAUCGAGGGAGACAGACAUUCAGGACCCUCCCCUUGAUCACACUGUGUUUCCAUUUCAACAAGGGUGAGCUGCUACACAGCCGUCCAGGCAUUUGUUCUGUUGUUCUGUGCUGUCAAAUUUCCUCAUGUCGUGCUCAGAACACUGUAAAAGCUGAGUAUCCUCGGCCCUGGGAGGCUGAAGCAGGACUUCCAAGCCAGCCAUUGACUGUCUCUCUCAUUUUAUCAGAAAGAUUAAGCAAGAUCUAAAACUGGCUCAAGUUCACAUAAACAGCAAGGUAAAUUUUUUGAAUGAGGUCUUGGAGUGAUGGCAGGAAUCCAUGGUCCCAGCUGCUUGGGAAGGGUGAGAUAGGAAAAUUGUGAGCCCCUGAGUUCACACCCAUCCUGGGUACCCUAAUGAGACUGUCUCAAAAAAAAAAAAAAAAAAGGUCAGUUGAGUUCUGUGAUUCCCAUCUCUAUCUUUCUAACGUUAAGUCACAGUCACCAUGCACAAAGUUAACGCUACAUUUCCUGUUGUUUUUCUCUCUCACCUGUAAAUCUUGCCCCCCCAGGAAUAAGCACUACUCAGUAGUGAUCUGAGCUCCCUGACUCUACCUCCAAGGUGGCCCCAGUGGAAAGUUUCAAAAGGUUUUGGUUUCACUGGCAGGGACAGGUUUCAUGGCAGGCAUUAGGAGCCAGUGAGCCCCUCUCCACCAGGCUCCUCAUCAAUAGGGUUCCACCACCACCUACACACACACACACACACACACUCACACACACACACACACACUCACACACACACACACACUCACACUCACUCACACACACACACACACACACACACACACUCACACACUCACACACUCACACACUCACACACACACACACUCACACACACACACACUCACACACACACACACACACUCACACACACACACUCACACACACACUCACACACACACACACACACACACUCACACACACACACACUCACACACACACACACACACACACACACACACACACCACCUCUGCACAUUCCCUGCCACACUCUUUACUACCAAC
rnacentral:lncRNA from 1 species